AAAACGGCCCUUUUCAGGGCCAUAAUAUGUAUCACGAAAGAGUAACU
rfam:Culex pipiens quinquefasciatus supercont3.498 genomic scaffold, whole genome shotgun sequence.